rnacentral:rRNA from 1 species
GACGAACGCUGGCGGCGUGCCUAAUACAUGCAAGUAGGACGCAGUUGCGAACGGGUGAGUAACGCGUAGGUAACUGCCUAUUAGAGGGGGAUAACUAUUGGAAACGAUAGCUAAUACCGCAUACUAGUAGAUGGACCUGCGUUGUAUUAGCUAGUAGGUAGGGUAAUGGCCUACCUAGGCAAAGAUACAUAGCCGAGCGGGGGGGGGGAACGGCCACACUGGGACUGGAACACGGGCCAGACCCCCAAGGGAGGCAGCAGUAGGGAAACUUCGGCAAUGGGGGGAAACCUGACCGAGCAAAGCCGGGGGAGUGAAGAAGGGUUUCGGAUCGUAAAGCUCUGUUGUUAAGGAAGCGGUACUUAACCAGAAAGGGACGGCUAACUACGUGCCAGCAGCCGCGGUAAUAC